rnacentral:rRNA from 1 species
UCGUGGAAACGCGAGCUAAUACCGCAUACGCCCUACGGGGGAAAGCGGGGGAUCUUCGGACCUCGUGCUAUUAGAUGAGCCUGCGUAAGAUUAGCUAGUUGGUGGGGUAAUGGCCUACCAAGGCGACGAUCUUUAGCUGGUCUGAGAGGAUGAUCAAGCCACACCGGGACUGAGACACGGCCCGGACUCCUACGGGAGGCAGCAGUCGGGAAUAUUGCGCAAUGGGCGAAAGCCUGACGCAGCCAUGCCGCGUGUGUGAAGAAGGCCCUAGGGUUGUAAAGCACUUUCAAUUGGGAGGAAAAGCUAAUGGUUAAUAGCCAUUAGCCCUGA